AUUGAACGCUGGCGGCAGGCCUAACACAUGCAAGUCGAGCGGAGCGGCGGACGGGUGAGUAAUGCCUAGGAAUCUGCCUGGUCGUGGGGGAUAACGUCCGGAAACGGGCGCUAAUACCGCAUACUAUCAGAUGAGCCUUGUCCGGAUUAGCUAGCUGGUGGGGUAAAGGCCUACCAAGGCGACGAUCCGUAACUGGUCUGAGAGGAUGAUCAGUCACACUGGAACUGAGACACGGUCCAGACGCCGACGGGAGGCAGCAGGGGGGAAUAUUGGACAAUGGGCGCAAGCCUGAGGCAGCCAUGCCGCGUGUAGGAAGAAGGCAUUAGGGUUGUAAAGUACUUUCAGCGGGGAGGCGUUACCCGCAGAAGAAGCACCGGCUAACUCCGUGCCAGCAGCCGCGGUAAUAC
rnacentral:rRNA from 1 species